GUACAGAUGAUGAGCUUUUGCAGUAUGAGGAGAAACAGUGAUACUGUAAACGCUUUCUGAUGUA
ensembl:snoRNA